rnacentral:lncRNA from 10 species
AAGCUCAGAGGCCUGGGAGAAGAUGAACAUAUGUACAUAUAUAUACAGGCUUAAUCUCCGUAUCUUCUCCCAAACAAGUUUAAACAGAUGUGAUUUGCCAUUAAAUUUCAGCGUUUUUAAGUAAACCGAUAUCAUUACAAUCCUCAUGGAAAAGCUAUACAUCAAAGAAAACAUCUGUGUGUCAAAGAGAGAAGAGAGAAGAGAGAAAAAGUGGCAUCAGUGAAUGAGUUGAUCAGGUUUGCUCAUCUUACUACCGCUUUGAACUAAGUCUGUUCAUGUAAUUCUACAACAUUUCAGAAGGAAAGCUGCUGUUUUCUUCUGCUGACAAAGGCAGUAGGGGCUUGAGCAAUGAAAAAAAAAACAAGAUAAGAUAGAAAAGAAGAAAGAAGGGAAGAAAGAAGGAAAGAAAGAAAAGAGAGAGAGAAAGAAAGAAAAUGCCAUCAGUAUCCUAUGUGAGUCUUACUGCUUACAGUGUGCUAAAA